UUGGAGGGCAAGUCUGGUGCCAGCAGCCGCGGUAAUUCCAGCUCCAAUAGCGUAUAUUAAAGUUGUUGCAGUUAAAAAGCUCGUAGUUGAAUUUCGGGACCAAUUUGUUGGUCGUGCCUCGGUACGUACUGGUAUUAUUGGUUUCUCCCUUCUGAAGAACCUUGAUGUCAUUAAUUUGGUGUCUUGGGGAAUCGGGACUGUUACUUUGAAAAAAUUAGAGUGUUUAAAGCAGGCAUACGCUUGAAUACAUUAGCAUGGAAUAAUGAAAUAGGACGUUUGAUUCUAUUUUGUUGGUUUCUAGGAUCGACGUAAUGAUUAAUAGGGAUAGUUGGGGGCAUUAGUAUUCAAUUGUCAGAGGUGAAAUUCUUGGAUUUAUUGAAGACUAACUACUGCGAAAGCAUUUGCCAAGGAUGUUUUCAUCAAUCAAGAACGAAAGUUAGGGGAUCGAAGACGAUCAGAUACCGUCGUAGUCUUAACCAUAAACUAUGCCGACUAGGGAUCGGAUGAUGUUAAUUUUUUAAUGACUCAUUCGGCGCCUUACGGGAAAC
rnacentral:rRNA from 1 species